rnacentral:rRNA from 1 species
UACGUAGGGGGCAAGCGUUAUCCGGAAUUACUGGGUGUAAAGGGAGCGUAGACGGUGAUGCAAGUCUGGAGUGAAAGGCGGGGGCCCAACCCCGGACUGCUCUGGAAACUGUGUAACUUGAGUGCAGGAGAGGUAAGCGGAAUUCCUAGUGUAGCGGUGAAAUGCGUAGAUAUUAGGAGGAACACCAGUGGCGAAAGCGGCUUACUGGGCUGUAACUGACGUUGAGGCUCGAAAGCGUGGGGAGCAAACAG